rnacentral:rRNA from 1 species
CCUACGGGUGGCAGCAGUGGGGAAUAUUGGACAAUGGGGGGAACCCUGAUCCAGCCAUGCCGCGUGUGUGAAGAAGGCCCUCGGGUUGUAAAGCACUUUCAGUGAGGAAGAACGCCUGGUGGUUAAUACCCAUCAGGAAAGACAUCACUCACAGAAGAAGCACCGGCUAACUCCGUGCCAGCAGCCGCGGUAAUACGGAGGGUGCGAGCGUUAAUCGGAAUUACUGGGCGUAAAGCGCGCGUAGGUGGCUUGAUAAGCCGGUUGUGAAAGCCCCGGGCUCAACCUGGGAACGGCAUCCGGAACUGUCAAGCUAGAGUGCAGGAGAGGUAGGUAGAAUUCCCGGUGUAGCGGUGAAAUGCGUAGAGAUCGGGAGGAAUACCAGUGGCGAAGGCGGCCUUCUGGACUGACACUGACACUGAGGUGCGAAAGCGUGGGUAGCAAACAGGAUUAGAUACCCGGGUAGUC